UACAGAGGUCUCAAGCGUUGUUCGGAUUCAUUGGGCGUAAAGGGUGCGUAGGCGGCGCGGUAAGUCGGGUGUGAAAUCUCCGAGCUUAACUUGGAAACUGCCGUUGAUACUAUCUGCCUUGAAUAUUGUGGAGGUGAGCGGAAUAUGUCAUGUAGCGGUGAAAUGCUUAGAUAUGACAUAGAACACCAAUUGCGAAGGCAGCUCGCUACACAUAUAUUGACUCUGAGGCACGAAAGCGUGGGGAUCAAACAGG
rnacentral:rRNA from 1 species